rnacentral:rRNA from 1 species
GACGAACGCUGGCGGCGUGCUUAACACAUGCAAGUCGAACGGAAAGGCCCUGCUUUUGUGGGGUGCUCGAGUGGCGAACGGGUGCGUAACACGUGAGUAACCUGCCCUUGACUUUGGGAUAACUUCAGGCAACUGGGGCUAAUACCGGCUAGGAGCUCCUGCUGAAUGGUGGGGGUUGGAAAGUUUCGGCGGUUGGGGAUGUACUCGCGGCUUAUCAGGUUGUUGGUGGGGUAGUGGCUUACCAAGGCUUUGACGGGUAGCCUGCCUGAGUGGGUGACCGGCCAUAUUGGGACUGAGAUGCAGCACAUACUCCUACGGGAGGCAGCAGUUGGAAAUAUUGCACAAUGGUAGGAAGCCUGAUGAAGCAACGCCGCGUGCGGGAUGACGGCCUUCGGGUUGUAAACCGCUUUCGCCUGUGACGAAGCGUGAGUGACGGUAAUGGGUAAAGAAGCACCGGCUAACUACGUG